AUUGAACGCUGGCGGCAUGCCUUACACAUGCAAGUCGAACGGUAACAGGUCUUCGGAUGCUGACGAGUGGCGAACGGGUGAGUAAUGCAUCGGAACGUGCCCAGUAGUGGGGGAUAGCCCGGCGAAAGCCGGAUUAAUACCGCAUACGACCUGAGGGUGAAAGGGGGGGAUCGCAAGACCUCUCGCUAUUGGAGCGGCCGAUGUCAGAUUAGCUAGUUGGUGGGGUAAAGGCCUACCAAGGCAACGAUCUGUAGUUGGUCUGAGAGGACGACCAGCCACACUGGGACUGAGACACGGCCCAGACUCCUACGGGAGGCAGCAGUGGGGAAUUUUGGACAAUGGGCGCAAGCCUGAUCCAGCAAUGCCGCGUGCAGGAAGGAGGCCUUCGGGUUGUAAACUGCUUUUGUCAGGGAAGAAAAGGUUCUGGUUAAUACCUGGGACUCAUGACGGUACCUGAAGAAUAAGCACCGGCUAACUACGUGCCAGCCGCCGCCGUAACAC
rnacentral:rRNA from 1 species